rnacentral:rRNA from 1 species
AGAGUUUGAUCCUGGCUCAGGACGAACGUUGGCGGUGCGCUUAAUGCAUGCAAGUCGAGGGAGAACCAGUCGUUCCGUAAGGUUCGGCUGGGGAAACCGGCGAACGGGUGCGUAACACGUGAGGAACCUGCCCCGAAGAUCGGGAUAGCCCGGGGAAACCCGGAUUAAUACCGAAUAUCCUCUUUAGACCACAUGGUCUGUUGAGGAAAUGGUCCGCUGCUUCGGGAUGGCCUCGCGGCCUAUCAGCUUGUUGGUGAGGUAACGGCUUACCAAGGCAAAGACGGGUAGCUGGUCUGAGAGGACGAUCAGCCACACUGGGACUGAGACACGGCCCAGACUCCUACGGGAGGCAGCAGCAGGGAAUAUUGCACAAUGGGCGAAAGCCUGAUGCAGCGACACCGCGUGCGGGAUGAAGGCCUUCGGGUUGUAAACCGCUUUCAGGAGGGACGAAAAUGACGGUACCUCCAGAAGAAGGCCCGGCCAACUACGUGCCAGCAGCCGCGGUAAUACGUAGGGGCCAAACGUUGUCCGGAUUUAUUGGGCGUAAAGGGCUCGUAGGCGGUUCAACAAGUCGGUCGUGAAAACCCGGGGCUCAACCCCGGGACGCCGGUCGAAACUGUUGUGACUAGGGUCCGGUAGAGGUGAGUGGAAUUCUCGGUGUAGCGGUGGAAUGCGCAGAUAUCGAGAGGAACACCAGUAGCGAAGGCGGCUCACUGGGCCGGUACCGACGCUGAGGAGCGAAAGCAUGGGGAGCAAACAGGAUUAGAUACCCUGGUAGUCCAUGCCGUAAACGAUGAACACUAGGUGUGGCGGAUUCAUUGACAUCUGCCGUGCCGUAGCUAACGCAUUAAGUGUUCCGCCUGGGGAGUACGGCCGCAAGGCUAAAACUCAAAGAAAUUGACGGGGCCCCCCACAAGCGGCGGA